rnacentral:rRNA from 1 species
GUACACGCUGUGACUAGCAUAUCAAUAAGCGGAGGAAAAGAAACUAACAAGGAUUCCCCUAGUAACGGCGAGUGAAGCGGGAAGAGCUCAAAUUUGAAAUCUUAAAGGGUUUCCCUUUACGAAUUGUAGUUUAAAGAAGUGUUUUCUGUUGAGGUUUUGGUAAAAGUUCUUUGGAAUAGGACAUCAUAGAGGGUGAGAAUCCCGUAUUUGACCUUUACUUUCAACUUUGUGAUACACUUUCAAAGAGUCGGAUUGUUUGGGAAUGCAGUCCAAAAUGGGUGGUAAAUUUCAUCUAAAGCUAAAUAUUGGCGAGAGACCGAUAGCGAACAAGUACCGUGAGGGAAAGAUGAAAAGAACUUUGAAAAGAGAGUUAAACAGUACGUGAAAUUGUCAAAAGGGAAGCGUUUGACACCAGUGUUGUUUUUCUGAAAAUCAAUUAAAGAACUGUUUAUGCUAAGCUUGUUUAGACUUUAUCAGCUAUCUGUUUAGUUUUGAGCUUUUCUUUAAUGCACUUUUCAGUUAACAAGUCAACAUCAAUUUCUUUUGCUGCUAAAAAAGCUUGAGGAAGGUGGCUUGAGAUUCGUCUUAAGUGUUUAUAGCCUCUUGCCUAUGCAGUCGGAGAGAUUGAGGUCUGCAGCGUAGAUCCUUCGGGGCUAAAUGCAUUUAUGCUAAGUUAUAGCAUUUCAUAGACAACUUGUUGACUAUGAUUUGUCUUGUAGCUUACUCGCUUAUGUUAUUUUACCUACGCUUAGGAUGUUGACUGAUAUGUAGUCGUA